CAGGGAUUGCCCUAGUAACGGCGAGUGAAGCGGCAACAGCUCAAAUUUGAAAUCUGGCCCUUGGGUCCGAAUUGUAAUUUGUAGAGGAUGAUUUUGGUGCGGUACCUUCCGAGUUCCUUGGAACAGGACGCCUUAGAGGGUGAGAGCCCCGUACGGUUGGAUACCUAGCCUCUGUAAAUCUCCUUCGACGAGUCGAGUAGUUUGGGAAUGCUGCUCUAAAUGGGAGGUAAAUUUCUUCUAAAGCUAAAUACUGGCCAGAGACCGAUAGCGCACAAGUAGAGUGAUCGAAAGAUGAAAAGCACUUUGAAAAGAGGGUUAAAUAGCACGUGAAAUUGUUGAAAGGGAAGGAUUUAUGACCAGACUUUUUCUGGGCAGAUCAUCCGGUGUUCUCACCGGUGCACUUUGCCCAGUUUAGGCCAGCAUCGAUUUCCGGAGGGGGAUAAAAGCUUUAGGAAUGUGGCUCCCUCGGGAGUGUUAUAGCCUAUUGUAUAAUACCUUUCUGGGGAUCGAGGUACGCGCUUCUGCAAGGAUGCUGGCGUAAUGGUUAUCAAUCACCCGUCUUGAAACACGGACCAAGGAGUCGAACAUUUGUGCGAGUGUUUGGGUGUUAAACCCUCACGCGUAAUGAAAGUGAACGGAGGUAAGAGCCCUUACGGGUGCAUUAUCGACCGAUCCUGAAGUUUUCGGAUGGAUUUGAGUAGGAGCAUAAAUGUUCGGACCCGAAAGAUGGUGAACUAUGCGUGGAUAGGGUGAAGCCAGAGGAAACUCUGGUGGAGGCUCGCAGCGGUUCUGACGUGCAAAUCGAUCGUCAAAUCUGCGCAUGGGGGCGAAAGA
rnacentral:rRNA from 1 species